AUCCAAACUAGCGACCGCUCGUCUACGCAUUACCUCACAAGUGUGAAGUCCAAAAACAUGGAUUCCUACAAGGAGGAGAAGAAGUCCAAGAAGAUAUACACUACAGAGAACAAACUUACAAUAAAAGAUAAUCUAAAAACAAGCGAUACACUGAAAGCACAGCUCACCUACCCGCAUUUCCGACAAAUGUGGAGUCUGAAAAAGACACCAAAUCUCUUAUGACGAAGAAGAUCAACAAGAUAAACAGAGAGAAAAAGUAUAAUAAAAGAUAAUCUAGAAAACAAGCGAUACACUGAAAGGACAGCUCCAUCCACCCUAUUUCGACGAAUGUGGAGUCUGAACAAGAUAUAAAACUCUUAUCAUAGAGAAGAUCAACAAGAUAAACAGAGAGGAAAAGGAUAAUAAGAUAUAUAAACAGCGAUAUCCAAACUAGAGACCGCUCGUCUACGCAUUACCUCACAAGUGUGAAGUCCAAGAACCUGGAUUCCUACAAGGAGGAGAAGAAGUCCAAGAAGAUAUUAUAAAUUCCAAAUUAUAAAUCGUGAAUCUAAAAACAAGUGAUACACUGAAAGCACAGCUCACCUACCCGCAUUUCCGACAAAUGUGGAGUCUGAAAAAGACACCAAAUUUCUUAUGACGAAGAAGAUCAACAAGAUAAACAGAGAGAAAAAGUAUAAUAAAAGAUAUAACAGCAAUAUCCAAACUAGCGACCACUCGUUUACCGCAUCACGUCACAAGUGUGAAGUCCAAUAACCUAAAUUCCUACAAGGAGGAGAAGGAGGCCAGCAAGAUAUACACUAUGUAGAGAACAAACUUACAAGAAAAGAUAUAAUAAGCGAUAUCCAAACUAGCGACCGCCGUCUACGCAUUACCUCACAAGUGUGAAGUCCAAGAACCUGGAUUCCUACAAGGAGGAGAGAAGUCCAAGAAGAUAUACACUACAAGAACAAACUUACAA